rnacentral:tRNA from 1 species
AUCUUUCUAGUAUCAAAUAAAUACAAGUGACUUCCAAUUACUUAAUCCUGGUUAGAGCCCAGGGAAAGAUA